UACGUAGGCAGCAAGCGUUGUUCGGAGUUACUGGGCGUAAAGAGUGCGUAGGCGGUCCUGUAAGUUUGGUGUGAAAUCUCCCGGCUCAACUGGGAGGGUGCGCCGAAGACUGCAGGGCUUGGGUAUGGGAGAGGUAAGCGGAAUUCCUGGUGUAGCGGUGAAAUGCGUAGAUAUCAGGAGGAACACCUGUGGUGUAGACAGCUUACUGGACCAUAACUGACGCUGAGGCACGAAAGCGUGGGUAGCAAACAGG
rnacentral:rRNA from 1 species